rnacentral:rRNA from 1 species
UACGUAGGGGGCGAGCGUUGUCCGGAUUUAUUGGGCGUAAAGAGCGUGUAGGCGGUUUGUCGCGUCUGCCGUGAAAAUUCGAGGCUCAACCUCGAACUUGCGGUGGGUACGGGCAGACUAGAGUGUGGUAGGGGAGACUGGAAUUCCUGGUGUAGCGGUGAAAUGCGCAGAUAUCAGGAGGAACACCGAUGGCGAAGGCAGGUCUCUGGGCCACUACUGACGCUGAGAAGCGAAAGCAUGGGGAGCGAACAGG